CAGUAAUUCUGAUAUUGGCCUGGUUCCCUCAGACAAAUAAAUAAAAAAAUCCUCUAUGAAUGGAGGAGUUUUAAUUUGCUUUGAUUGAGCCGUGCCAAUAUCUUAGUUCUCUUU
rnacentral:pre_miRNA from 1 species